GGGACAGGGGAGACAUGGAGGGCGGGGGACCAGGGGAGGCUGGAGAAUCGGGACUAGGGAGGACGGCGAGGAGAUUCGAAGGACUGUGACUCUGAGAAGCCCGGAGCGAGGGGCUCGGGGAGGGAGCCGACAGGAACUCGGGAGGAGGAGGAGGAGGAGGAGGAAGCCGCCGCCCGCGCCGCCGCCCCCGCGCCGCCACGGCCCGGAAAGUAGGCCCAGCGCGGAGGGGCCCGGCCGCGGCGCCCGUAUCCGUCCGCCCGCGCUGCGCCCGCCCGGCCAGUCGCCUCCGCCCGCCCUCCGCGCCGCUCCCGGCGCACCCCGCGCCCAUCCGGGGACUCGGCGGCCGCCGCGGGCCUUACCGGAGUCGCCGCGCGCCGCGCCGUCCCGGGGCUUCGGGGGGCGGCCCCGCGGCAUCGUCGCGGCGGCCCACCCCUCACUCGCGCUCUCCCUCGGCGGGCGCGCACGCGCGGCACCGGCGGGCGGGCUGGCGGGCGGGCUGCGGCGGCGGCGGCCGGACCCAGCCCGCCGGGCUCACGGGGCGACGGCGCCCGGACGCGCGGGCAGCAGCGCUCGGACCGCGCGGGCCUCGGCGGGUUCCAUGGCCCGCGGGCCGCGGCGGGGGCGUUGGGAGCGGGCGGUGGGGGCGGGGGCGCCGCUGUGCGCAUGCGCGGCCCGACAGGCGGCGGCGUCACCUAGCUCGGCGAGCCGCCGGCAUAGCCGGCCUGCAGGCCCCUGGCCUGGUUUGCACUGUGCUUCGGAGGCUUCUCGGUGCUCCAUCCCGGACCUUGAACGCCGGUCGGGACUGCCAACCCUCUUAGUCCUCACCCCCAACUACUCAGGAGACGGAAGGGGUCGGAGGGUGGCGUGCUUGCCCUGCUCUCGCUACGUUUAUGCACUUGAAGGGAAAGUAUCCCAGCACGUCCUUCUGCCCCGGACUCCUUUUCAAGCAUCCCUGCCUAGACCUUCUCUGGAGCGACAAAAGGCCUGGGAAGGAAACCUGAACGCAGAGAUGCUCCUGGGAACAGGCCGACUUGAGUGAUGCCCCCCUAGUAGGCUCCAUUCAAGCCUUAAAGUUUACCGUUUCUGUGUGUCAUCCUGUAUGAUUUGUUGUGCCGGUAAACUGCAGCCAGAGAUUGAUUCACAGAUGCACAGCCUAAAGCAUGUUAGGAAUCCAGCAGGGUGUGUGUGGCUCACCUCUAAUCCCAAGGUUUGGAAAGCUGAGGUUGCGAAGUCUGGAAAACUGGAAUGUAAAGUCGAAGCCUACCUGUGAAAGACCCCACCAUCAGGCUUAGCAAGCUAGCUGCAGUAACGCCAUUUUGCAAGGCAUGAAAAAGUACCAGAGCUGAGUUCUCAAAAGUUACAAGAAAGUUCAGUUAAAGAUUAACAGUUAAAGAUUAAGGCUGAAUAAUACUGGGACAGGGGCCAAAUAUCGGUGGUCAAGCACCUGGGCCCCGGCUCAGGGCCAAGAACAGAUGGCUCUCAGACGUCAGUGUUAGCAGAACUAGCUUCACUGAUUUAGAAAAAUAGAGGUGCACAGUGCUCUGGCCACUCCUUAAACCUGUGUGUCUGCCAAUGUUCUGACCAGGUGUGUGCCCAUUGUUGAACCUUCAUUAGACCCUUUCCUCGUACCCCUCCCAUACCCAUUUCUUGAAAAUAGACAUUGUUUAGAACUAAAAAGUCCCACCUCAGUUUCCCCAAAUGACCGAGAAAUACCCCAAGCCUUAUUCGAACUAACCAACCAGCUCGCUUCUCGCUUCUGUAACCGCGCUUUUUGCUCCCCAGCCCCAGCCCUAUAAAAAGGGUAAAAACUCCACACUCGGCGCGCCAGUCCUCCGAUAGACUGCGUCGCCCGGGUACCCGUGUUCCCAAUAAAGCCUCUUGCUGUUUGCAUCC
rnacentral:lncRNA from 1 species